rnacentral:rRNA from 1 species
CCAAUAGCGUAUAUUAAAGUUGUUGCAGUUAAAAAGCUCGUAGUUGAACUUCGGGAUCAAUUGAUUGGUCAUGCCUUGGUAUGUACUGUUCAUAUUGGUUCUCACCUUCUAAUGAACCAUAAUGUCAUUUAUUUGAUGUUAUGGGAAAUUAGGACUGUUACCUUGAAAAAAUUAGAGUGUUUAAAGCAGGCUCACGCUUGAAUACAUUAGCAUGGAAUAAUGAAAUAGGACAUCGCAUUCUAUUUUGUUGGUUUCUAGGAUCGAUGUAAUGAUUAAUAGGGAUAGUUGGGGGCAUUAGUAUUCAAUUGUCAUAGGUGAAAUUCUUGGAUUUAUUGAAGACUAACUACUGCGAAAGCAUUUGCCAAGGAUGUUUUCAUUAAUCAAGAACGAAAGUUAGGGGAUCGAAGACGAUCAGAUACCGUCGUAGUCUUAACCAUAAACUAUGCCGACUAGGGAUCGGAUGAUGUUGAUUUUUUAAUGACUCAUUCGGCACCUUACG